AAGAAUAAGUGUUUAUAAACUGCUACAUUUAGCAAGUUUUAUAGUAUCAUGCAAUUUGGUAUGCGUUGAUUCUGCCAUAACCUCAAACAAAAUAAUUACCUGAGGCAGCAAUGUAGUCAAUCAUUCUAAGAAAAUACCCAAUACAAGCACCAUACUGGCAGCCAACCCUCGGGUUGUACAGCAAUGGCCAAAGUUACCAAUAUUCC
rnacentral:lncRNA from 1 species